CUCUGUUUCGAAUAGAUUCAGGGCAAAAGGAG
ncrna:Bacillus sp. JCM 19047 L31-Firmicutes ribosomal protein leader